GGGGCAAGCGUUGUCCGGAAUUAUUGGGCGUAAAGAGCGUGUAGGCGGUCCGGUAAGUCAGCUGUGAAAGUCAAGGGCUCAACCCUUGAAAGCCGGUUGAUACUGUCGGGCUAGAGUCCGGAAGAGGCGAGUGGAAUUCCCGGUGUAGCGGUGAAAUGCGCAGAUAUCGGGAGGAACACCGGUGGCGAAGGCGGCGACCUGGGUCGACACUGACGCUGAGGCGCGAAAGCGUGGGGAGCAAACAGG
rnacentral:rRNA from 1 species